AUCGAACGCUGGCGGCAUGCCUAAUACAUGCAAGUCGAACGAGAAGCGGACGGGUGGGUAAUGUCUGGAAACCUGCCUGAUGUAGGGGGCUACCUACUGGAAACGUUAGCUACUGCUGCUUACCAUCCUUUCUGCCCAGAUGGGAUUAGCUAGUUGGUGGGGUAACGGCUCACCAAGGCGACGAUCCAUACCUGGUCUGAGAGGCUGACCAGCCACACUGGAACUGAGACACGGCCCAGACUCCUACGGGAGGCAGCAGUGGGGAAUAUUGGACAAUGGGCGCAAGCCUGAUGGAGCAAUGCCGCGUGUAUGAAGAAGGCCUUCGGGUUGUAAAGCACUGUUAGCGGAGAGGCGUUAUCCACACAAGAAGCGACGGCUAACUCCGUGCCAGCAGCCGCGGUAAUAC
rnacentral:rRNA from 1 species